rnacentral:rRNA from 1 species
UACGUAGGGUGCAAGCGUUAUCCGGAAUUAUUGGGCGUAAAGCGUCCGCAGGUGGCCUAUCAAGUCUGCUGUCAAAGACCGGGGCUUAACCCCAGAAAGGCAGUGGAAACUGAAAGGCUAGAGGAUGGUAGGGGCAGAGGGAAUUCCCAGUGUAGCGGUGAAAUGCGUAGAGAUUGGGAAGAACACCGGUGGCGAAAGCGCUCUGCUGGGCCAUAACUGACACUCAGGGACGAAAGCUAGGGGAGCGAAUGGG